rnacentral:lncRNA from 1 species
CCACCCUGACAUGAAGAAGAGACUGGUCAUGUCAACCUCAGGGAAAGAACUCUCAAAGACCUCAAAUGACUGAGGAAAGAGAGCAGCAGGAAGCUGUGAGUGGGAGAAAGUUAGAACAUUCAGAUCAAAGAAGCUUCAUAGACUGGUCAAGGAUUCAUCACCCUAAAAGAGACAAGAAAGAGAAGUCCGAAUCCCUGAUGAAGUCUCAGCUAAGUCCCUGUAAUAAGUCUCUCUAAAUUGAAAGAAAGAUUAACUGGACCAAGAACCAUUUUCACUGACAGCAUAUCAGCAAAAAAUAAAUGCAUUUGGAAAUGAAUUUGAAGUUAAUGU